UCUUCUUUAAUUUUUUUUUAUUUUAACAAAAAACAUUUGAAAAUUGUUACGGUUCUUGAACAAGCUUUGAUUUCGUUUUAGUGGCGGAGUUGUUGUUGUUGGUGACGAUGACGAUGAAGGAUAACAUCGGCGGUUGUUGGUGACGGCGAUGUUUUCGUAGAUCUGGUGAUGUCGGUGUCAGAUCUGGACGGAAACAGUCACAUCUAGCCAAAGUUGUUGUAUUCACGAAUACGGCGAUUGUAUUCACUUUUUUGAGUUUUUUUUGUUAAAUUUUCCGAUAGUAUUCAUUUUUUAGCGUGUAUUUGUUAGCAUAAGCGUUGGUUGUUGUUGUUGUUGUGAAAUUUUCGUUAGAUCUGGCAAGAACUAGUGGUUGGUGUUGUUGUAUUCAUGAAUAAGACAAUUGUAUUCACUUUUUUGAGUUUUUUUUUGUUAAUAUUUUAGAUUGUAUUCA